rnacentral:lncRNA from 1 species
UUCUUCCAAGCCGUGACACAACUAUAGUUCCAAUUGAAAAUAAACGCUUGAUUGCAGCAUCCAAAAGAAAGGCACCGUGAGUGAACCAAGCUCUCCAGUUGAAAUCACCGCAUCUUCAAAGAAAAGAAAAGCACGCCUCUAAAAUUUGUAUCAUCCAGUAACGUGUUCUCCUCCAAGAAAUGAAAAUGNUAUUCUCCAAUAAUGCAUCAGCGUGUGCUUGCAGCUUAUGAACAAAACCGUACCAAUUCCAGUUGCAAAGUAAAUCCUACACCGUGCUUCUCUCCAAGUGAAAAAAAAUAUGUCGCUCCACUUAAAUGAAAAUGCAAUAAUGAUAUUUCCAGAAACUAAAUCACCGCACUACACCUCCAACCAACACCAUGCACAUGCUCAUGAUUCAUACAAAAUAAAAGCUUGUUUAAGGAAAGUAAAUUCUGGAAAAAAAAAGUUAAUCACCGAGUGCCUCUUCCAAUUGCAAAAUGAACUUGCAACUUCAAAGUAAAU